ACAUACGACCAUAGACUCAAGAGAACUGGGCAUCCCGUCCGCUCUGCCAUACAUAACCUUGAGAUCGGUGGAUUAGUAGUUGGGUGGGUGACCACCAGCGAAUACCCACUGUUGUAUGUU
rfam:Geomyces destructans 20631-21 unplaced genomic scaffold supercont1.225, whole genome shotgun sequence.